CCUACGGUGGGCAGCAGUCGAGAAUCAUUCACAAUGGGGGAAACCCUGAUGGGGCGACGCCGCGUGGGGGAAUGAAGGUCUUCGGAUUGUAAACCCCUGUCAUGUGGGAGCAAAUUAAAAAGAUAGUACCACAAGAGGAAGAGACGGCUAACGCUGUGCCAGCAGCCGCGGUAAUACAGAGGUCUCAAGCGUUGUUCGGAAUCAAUGGGCGUAAAGCGUGCGUAGGCUGUUUCGUAAGUCGUGUGUGAAAGGCGCGGGCUCAACCCGCGGACGGCACAUGAUACUGCGAGACUAGAGUAAUGGAGGGGGAACCGGAAUUCUCGGUGUAGCAGUGAAAUGCGUAGAUAUCGAGAGGAACACUCGUGGCGAAGGCGGGUUCCUGGACAUUAACUGACGCUGAGGCACGAAGGCCAGGGGAGCGAAAGGGAUUAGAUACCCCAGUAGUC
rnacentral:rRNA from 1 species